UGGUGUCUUUUGAACAACUUGUUUAAAGGC
rnacentral:piRNA from 1 species